CGGAAUGUCGGGCAAGCGGCCGUAGUAAUACGGAGUGGGCGGGGCGUGUUCGUUGGUUCUGGGCGAUAAGGUGGCGCAGGCGGUCCGAGUUAGUAUGCGUGAAAGCCGCGGGCGUAACCGGGGAGGGUGGUUUGAUAUGGUUGUGCUAGAGUUCGGGAGAGGAGAGUGGAAUUCCCAGUGUAGAGGUGAAAUUCGGAGAUAUUGGGAAGAACACCGGUGGCGAAGGCGGCUCUCUGGACCGAGACUGACGCUGAGGCGCGAAAGCGUGGGGAGCAAACAGGAUUAGAUACCCCUGUAGUC
rnacentral:rRNA from 1 species